rnacentral:rRNA from 1 species
GAUAAACGCUGGCGGCGUGCCUUAUGCAUGCAAGUCGUACGGUACUGAUAAAUCAGGCUUGCCUGGGAUAUCAGGAGAGUGGCGAACGGGUGAGUAACACGUAAGUAACCUACCCCUAAGUAGGGGAUAACUCUGAGAAAUUGGAGCUAAUACCGUAUGUGGUGGUGAAGGUAAUGCUUCAUCCCUAAAGCCUUAGGGCACUUGGGGAGGGGCUUGCGUCCGAUUAGCUAGUUGGUAGGGUAAUGGCUUACCAAGGCGAAGAUCGGUAGCUGGUUUGAGAGGACGGUCAGCCACACUGGGACUGAGAUACGGCCCAGACUCCUACGGGAGGCAGCAGCGAGGAAUUUUGUGCAAUGGGCGAAAGCCUGACACAGCGACGCCGCGUGGGGGAUGACGGCUUUCGAGUUGUAAACCCCUUUUCCCAGGGAAGAAUAAUGACGGUACCUGGGGAAUAAGUCUCGGCUAACUACGUGCCAGCAGCCGCGGUAAUACGUAGGAGGCAAGCGUUAUCCGGAUUUACUGGGCGUAAAGAGGGCGCGGGCGGUUCUUCAAGUCGGAUGUAAAAUCUCCCGGCUUAACUGGGAGGGAUCAUUCGAUACUGUUGGGCUAGAGGACAGCAGAGGGAGGUGGAAUUCCCGGUGUAGUGGUGAAAUGCGUAGAUAUCGGGAGGAACACCAGUGGCGAAGGCGGCCUCCUGGGCUGUGCCUGACGCUGAGGCCCAAAGGCGUGGGGAGCGAACAGGAUCAGAUACCCUGGUAGUCCACGCAGUAAACUAUGGACACUAGGUAUAGGGAGUAUCGACCCUCUCUGUGCCGAAGCUAACGCUUUAAGUGUCCCGCCUGGGGAGUACGGCCGCAAGGCUA